rnacentral:lncRNA from 1 species
UUGUUUGAAGUUAUUUAGAUCAAACAAUUGAGGUACUAAUUGGUGUAUUGAAAAUGAAAUAAGGGAGAAAAUAUGGACAAUUUAGGCUUUUAAAUUUUCUGUUUAGUGUCUGUUUGGGAUUGAAUUGUAUUACAUUACUUGAACCUGAAAAUUGGUGUGCUGUUUGCUACUUGAAAAAUAUAAUAAACGAACAAUAGAGACUAU